rnacentral:rRNA from 1 species
AGGGGUUUGUCCGGGAGUUACUGGGCGUAAGCGCCCGCAGGCGGUCUGUUAAGUUCAGGGUGACAGUCAUCAGCUUAACUGGUGAAGUGUCUUGAAAACUGGCGGACUUGAGGACCAGAGAGGGACCUGGAAUUCCGGGUGGAGCAGUGAAAUGCGUAGAUAUCCGGAGGAACACCAAAGGCGAAGGCAGGGUCCUGGCUGGCACCUGACGCUGAGGGGCGAAAGCUAGGGGAGCGAACGGGAUUAGAUACCCCGGUAGUCCUAGCCGUAAACAAUGACCACUAGGUGUGCGGGGUUCGACCCCCUGCGUGCCGUAGUUAACGCAAUAAGUGGUCCGCCUGGGGAGUACGGUCGCAAGACUAAAACUCAAAGGAAUUGACGGGGACCCGCACAAGCAGCGGAGCGUGUGGUUUAAUUCGACGCGACACGAAGAACCUUACCAGGGCUUGACAUGCAGUCGCACCGUCCAGAGAUGGACGUGCCCGCAAGGGACGGCUGCACAGGUGCUGCAUGGCUGUCGUCAGCUCGUGCCGUGAGGUGUUGGGUUAAGUCCCGCAACGAGCGCAACCCCCAUCGUCAGUUACAAUGUCUGACGAGACUGCCACUAACUAGGUGGAGGAAGGUGGGGAUGACGUCAAGUCAGCACGGCCCUGAUGUCCUGGGCUACACACACGCUACAAUGGCCGAGACAAAGAGUGGCGAACCCGCGAGGGUGAGCGAAUCUUAGCAAACUCGGUCUCAGUUCGGAUGGCAGGCUGCAACCCGCCUGCCUGAAGUCGGAGUUGCUAGUAACCGUGAGUCAGCAUAUCACAGUGAAUACGUUCCCGGGUCUUGUACACACCGCCCGUCACACCACGAAAGUCGGCAACACCUGAAGUCGGUGACCGAACCGCAAGGGCGGAGCCGCCGAAAGUGGGGCUAGUAACUGGGACGAAGUCGUAACAAGGUAACC